AAUUUGCAGCAAGCGGCACUGGGCGGGUGACCCUGCCUGAGCCCAGUGAGAAGCAGGUCUGAUUGCGGUGCUUCCAGGACCUGUUUGGAGACGACCACAAUAAGAAUGGGUUCAAAAUGUUCGACUCCUCCAACUAUCACGGCCAAGACCUGCUUUUCAAGGAUGCCACCGUCCGGGCGGUGCCUGUCGGCGAGAAAACCACCUACCGCGACUGGCUGGGGCUGGACUACGUGGCGGCGCUGGAAGGGAUGUUGUCUCAGCAGUGCUCGGGCGCAGCUCCAGCUGUUGCUGGUUCCUAGAACCCAGACCACCCAUCGGGGGCUGGAAAGGAAGCCAAAUGGCCCCAGCAUUUCCCAGGAAUGUUACAUUUUGACAAUCAAUUACCAACUUUAGGUGUGACCUCCUCUUCUCCCUCCCAGCUCCCCACAGGGGAGCUAUUAGCAUUAUCCCAUUCUACAGGACUGGGAAAUGAGGCUGUGAGAGUGAGGAACUGAGGAACUUGCUGGGAUUUGAACACAGGCACAGUCAGCCCCAGAGGGUGGUGGUGGCAAGUCUCCACCAGGCCAGGCUGGGAAGCCUGUGCUGCCACAGGCCUGGCUGGACCGCCUGCCUGUAGCCUCCAGGACAUUCGAACCAAAGUCCAGGUGCAAUUGCCUUUAUCACAUCUGCUGCAGUUCUCCACAAUCAUCUCAAGGACAUCGGCCAGGUGGCCCCCAGGAGCAGGAGGCUGGUCAGCGUUUGUCAGAGCAGGGCUCAUCACUGAUAACAAAAGUGCUGGCCACGCCAGUGCUGGAGGCAGGCU
rnacentral:sRNA from 1 species